GUGACAGCAGCCGCGGUAAGACGAAGGGGGCUAGCGUUGUUCGGAAUUACUGGGCGUAAAGGGCGCGUAGGCGGUUUGUUAAGUCAGGCGUGAAAGCCCUGGGCUCAACCUGGGAUGUGCGUUUGAUACUGGCAAGCUUGAGUGCAGGAGAGGAUGGUGGAAUUCCCAGUGUAGAGGUGAAAUUCGUAGAUAUUGGGAAGAACACCGGUGGCGAAGGCGGCCAUCUGGACUGCAACUGACGCUGAGGCGCGAAAGCGUGGGGAGCAAACAGGAUUAGAAACCCUCGUAGUCC
rnacentral:rRNA from 1 species